rnacentral:rRNA from 1 species
UACGUAGGGUGCAAGCGUUAAUCGGAAUUACUGGGCGUAAAGGGCGCGUAGGCGGCACUGUUAGUCAGGCGUGAAAUUCCUGGGCUCAACCUGGGGACUGCGCUUGAUACGGCAGAGCUAGAGGAUGGAAGAGGCUCGCGGAAUUCCCAGUGUAGAGGUGAAAUUCGUAGAUAUUGGGAAGAACACCGGUGGCGAAGGCGGCGAGCUGGUCCAUUACUGACGCUGAGGCGCGACAGCGUGGGGAGCAAACAGG